rnacentral:lncRNA from 10 species
CAGUCCUUUUCAUGUAUUAUCUCAUUUAAUUUUCACAACAACCAUGUGAGAUACAUUUUUCUCCAAAUACACACAACUAGUAGUAGCUGCCAAAGCAGGAGUUCUAAGGCAGGCAAUCUGAUUUCGAUGUGCUAUACUGCCUACUUUCCACUAUUACUUUGUUUAGGAGUUUAUCUAGAAACCAUGGGCAACAAUCUAAUAUUAUUGUAGUAGUGCAAAGGAACAUCCAAAGGCAAGGGGUCAAAUUUGCAAGUUUUAACAUGAGAACUCUGACCAUGUCCGGCAACUUAACUCCAGAAGAGAAGAGGUAAUGUAAGGGGUAGUAGUAUAUGGCUCCUUCUUCUUGCCUCCACGUCUAGCUGCAGCUCUGAAAAAAAGGAGGAAGCAGAAUAAAGAUCACAACUCUCUGGGCACAGGAGAAUACAGCAUAAUUUUUUGGGUUGGGAGGUGUUUGGGCCAUGGGGGUGGAUCCCUCAUGAGUGGCUUGGUGCUGUCCUCAUGGUAGUAAGUGAGUUCUCGCUCUAUUAAUUCCCAUGAGAGCUGGUUGUUAAAAAGAGUCUGGCAACUCCCCCAUCUCUUUUUUGCUUCUUCUCUCACCACGUGAGCUCUGCACACACUGGCUCCCCUUCAUCUUCCACCAUGAGUGGAAGCAGCCCGAGGCUUUCAUCAGAUGCCCAGUCUUCCAGCCAGCAGAAUUGUUGAAUCUUCCUUCCCAAAAUCCCAAUGAUGCAUCAGGCUACUCUUCGGAUUCUCCGUAUCACAUGAAAGAUACAGCAUUCAAGAGGAAUUUUCAACACUUUCCUUAGAAAUCUCCUCAGCUAAAUAUCCAAUCUCAUCACUCACAAGUUCUACCUUCUACGAAACACUAAAACACAGCUCAACCAAGUGCCUUGUCCAUGAUGUUACAUAUAAGGCUGGCAAUUAAAUGAAGGACAAAUGGGUAGAAACAACCUUUUUGGGAAAUUUUUUAAAUGAGUUAAUGAUCCAUUCCGUAAGCAUUACAAACUGAAGUAAUGCCCUAUUUUGUGGAUGAGGAAAUCUAGACUGAUAAGAGUCCCACGGUCACAGAGUGAAGAAAUGGGAACAUUGGGCUGUCCAGCUUUUUCCACUCAGUACACCAUACCGUGUCUAUGUCACCUGGAUCUAAGAGUUAGUUGAGGUUGGGAUAAGAGAAAUAAAAGGCUAACCAUGAUGCUAAAAUGUCUGAAUCAUUAUUGACUUACCGGCUUGUCAACAAUCUAAUACACAAGGAGAGC